GCGGACGUGGCGGAAUCGGUAGACGCUGCCGACUUAAAAUCGGCUUCCAUCGGAGUACGGGUUCGAGUCCCGUCGUCCGCACCA
rnacentral:tRNA from 1 species